CCUACGGGUGGCUGCAGUGGGGAAUAUUGGACAAUGGGGGGAACCCUGAUCCAGCCAUGCCGCGUGUGUGAAGAAGGCCCUCGGGUUGUAAAGCACUUUCAGUGAGGAAGAACGCCUGGUGGUUAAUACCCAUCAGGAAAGACAUCACUCACAGAAGAAGCACCGGCUAACUCCGUGCCAGCAGCCGCGGUAAUACGGAGGGUGCGAGCGUUAAUCGGAAUUACUGGGCGUAAAGCGCGCGUAGGUGGCUUGAUAAGCCGGUUGUGAAAGCCCCGGGCUCAACCUGGGAACGGCAUCCGGAACUGUCAAGCUAGAGUGCAGGAGAGGAAGGUAGAAUUCCCGGUGUAGCGGUGAAAUGCGUAGAGAUCGGGAGGAAUACCAGUGGUGAAGGCGGCCUUCUGGACUGACACUGACACUGAGGUGCGAAAGCGUGGGUAGCAAACAGGAUUAGAUACCCUAGUAGUC
rnacentral:rRNA from 1 species